rnacentral:rRNA from 1 species
AUUGAACGCUGGCGGCAGGCCUAACACAUGCAAGUCGAACGGUAACAGGAAGCAGCUUGCUGCUUUGCUGACGAGUGGCGGACGGGUGAGUAAUGUCUGGGAAACUGCCUGAUGGAGGGGGAUAACUACUGGAAACGGUAGCUAAUACCGCAUAACGUCGCAAGACCAAAGAGGGGGACCUUAGGGCCUCUUGCCAUCGGAUGUGCCCAGAUGGGAUUAGCUAGUAGGUGGGGUAACGGCUCACCUAGGCGACGAUCCCUAGCUGGUCUGAGAGGAUGACCAGCCACACUGGAACUGAGACACGGUCCAGACUCCUACGGGAGGCAGCAGUGGGGAAUAUUGCACAAAGGGCGCAAGCCUGAUGCAGCCAUGCCGCGUGGAUGAAGAAGGCCUUCGGGUUGUAAAGUACUUUCAGCGGGGAGGAAGGGAGUAAAGUUAAUACCUUUGCUCAUUGACGUUACCCGCAGAAGAAGCACCGGCUAACUCCGUG